rnacentral:rRNA from 1 species
AUUGAACGCUGCGGCAUGCCUUACACAAUGCAAGUCGAACGGCAGCACGGGUGCUUGCACCUGGUGGCGAGUGGCGAACGGGUGAGUAAUAUAUCGGAACGUACCUUAUCGUGGGGGAUAACGCAGCGAAAGCUGCGCUAAUACCGCAUACGACCUGAGGGGGAAAGCGGGGGACCGUAAGGCCUCGCGCGAUUAGAGCGGCCGAUAUCUGAUUAGCUUGUUGGUGGGGUAAAAGCCCACCAAGGCGACGAUCAGUAGCUGGUCUGAGAGGACGAUCAGCCACACUGGGACUGAGACACGGCCCAGACUCCUACGGGAGGCAGCAGUGGGGAAUUUUGGACAAUGGGGGCAACCCUGAUCCAGCAAUGCCGCGUGAGUGAAGAAGGCCUUCGGGUUGUAAAGCUCUUUUGUCAGGGAAGAAACAGCAGCUCUAACACAGUCUGCGAAUGACGGUACCUGAAGAA